GCAAUCGUGGCCGAGUGGUUAAGGCGAUGGACUAGAACAGGUUCGAAUCCUGUCGACUGCG
rfam:Ixodes scapularis strain Wikel colony gcontig_1107729010390, whole genome shotgun sequence.